AUUUUCUUUCUUCUUCAUAAUUACCACAUUACAAGAUAGUAUAAAGUUCAUAUAUAUAGUGCUAAGUACAACCAAAGCAACACAAGGAACAACCAUCAAUGACAACAUCAAAAAGAGUUGCAGAGAGGAAAGUGUCCAAGUUUGAAAAAAAUAUUACAAAAAGGGGAAUAUUGCAAAACCAAAAAGGCAACAAAGGAAUUGAUCCAAUUCAUAUUUUUCUUGUCCUUUUUGCUGUUUUAUUCAUUGGAUCUUUUAUUUUCCAGGUUGUGAGGAUGGCACUUAAUGGUGGAUUGCUACCAAGGUAGAUGGAAUAUAUGGAAUACAUAAAUAAAACCAAAUUCCAACUUUUCGACUUCUGUUUCAAUUUACGUGUCUUACUUUUUUUUUUAAUAUAUUUUUAAUAAAAAUAUCGUCUUUCUAUUCAAUAACUUUUGGAUUUCGCUGUUUUUAUUUUACCUUUAAUGGCACAGUCCCUUAUAUAAAACUGACAUGACAUGUAUACGACCACUAAAUUCGAGCGAUAUUUUUGGUGUGUU